rnacentral:rRNA from 1 species
UACGUAGGGACCGAGCGUUGUCCGGAUUCAUUGGGCGUAAAGAGCUCGUAGGCGGCUGCUCAAGUCGAAUGUGAAAACUCGAGGCUCAACCUCGAGCCUGCAUUCGAUACUGGGCGGCUAGAGUCUGGUAGGGGGAUCUGGAAUUCCUGGUGUAGCGGUGAAAUGCGCAGAUAUCAGGAGGAACACCGGUGGCGAAGGCGGGAUCCUGGGCCAGUACUGACGCUGAGGAGCGAAAGCGUGGGGAGCAAACAGG